UUGAAAAUAUUCAUAUAAUGAAAGAGUGCAUGAUUUUGCCAGAAACACAUGACCACCAUAUGUUUGAAGGAUUCUUGCAUAGUUUUUGACUGAUGUUUCGGAACAUGAAAUCUCUUAUACUAUUUGAAAUGUUGGGUGGUCUGAAUUGUGUUUUAAUGAAAAGAUUAUGCUUAAUGCAUUAUGGCUCAGAAUUACGACUUGCAAGUCUUGGUAUGACGAUACCAAAUCCGACAAUGCCAUAACAGACUUAGAAUAAUACAAAAAUCAGACUUUAUCAUGAUUUAGACUUCAGAAUGACUCAUAUUCAGAACAGGCUAAAAUUGGGCAUAAAGAGAGCUUAGAUGGUUCCCCGAAGAAGGCAUGAGUUCAGGCAGCUCAUUACCCAAAAUCGUGAUUUGCCGAUCCGGGUAUAUUAUUAUAUGUUGGCCUAGUGCCCUGUGGCGUAUCAGACAUAGACACUCCAACCCUUACAGCACACUCGGGUUGGGGGCUUCCCCGCUGAGUCAAUGGCAGAUUUCAUAUAGCCAGUGGAAUAUCAGACUUGUAGGGGAGCGCCACCUAACUCAGAAUUAAUACGAAGAUCAGAAACUGCAUUGUCAAGAAUGAUUUAUGAUUUUUCAGAAAAGUGCCCAUGUGUUUUGAAAACUAUUUUAUGUAUAAUGUUUUGACAAAUUGCUCUUCAUUAUUUUAUUUAUAUAAAAGCUUUAUUUUGAAUUACUUUGCGUACCAGUACAACUAUAUUGACCCCCCUACCUUCCAUGUUCUGAGGCACAGUCUAGGGGUCCUGAUAACAAGCAGAAGUGUAGAGUCCCAUUGGUGAGCCUUCUAUAUUUCAAAAGGCCUAUUUAUUUUCAGACAUUUAUCAUUAGCUAUGGUUUUGAUCUACUGGGGGCCUUGUCCCAGUUUUCAGAUAGUUGUUGUUGAUUGUGUAGUAGAGAUUUCGCAAACGGUUUUCAGACGUUGUUAGUUGGUAUUGGAUGUCAUUCUCCACUAUUGAACUUAUUUCAAACUUAUGACCAUGAUUUCGUUUCAUUGUAUAUUUUCGUUUUUCCUUAAUUGUAUAUGAAUGGUGUAUAUGAUUACAAGUUAGAAGGGCUCUCAGGCCUUCAUAGUUUGGGAUGUCCGUCAUGGACAGGACCCCGGUUCGGGUCGUGACAAACUUGGUAUCAAAGCACGGUUCAUGGUCAUAGAGUGUCUGCGAAAUCACGUCGGGUAGAGUCUUGUUUAUGGGUGUGUAGUGCGCCACACUUAUAAGUAGGAGGCUACUAGGCGUUUAGGAAUGUUUCUCUUUCUUCAUGUUCUAGUUCGUGCUAUGGAGUCAGAAUGUUCCUUUUUCAUACUCUAAUUCAUGUUAUGGUGUUGCCCAUACGAAAGUAAUAUUAUCCCAAUUCUUUCCUUACUUUGAUGUGCUCAAAUAUGUUUCAUUGUUGAGGUGAAUCAAGUGCAGAAGUUUAGAGUUUAAAUAGUAUGGUACUCUCUGAUUAAGCCAUAUAAGAUUUUAAAAUUGUGCAAGGACUUGAGAAGAGUCCGUUAGUGCUUCAGAGUGUAUUGAUUCUAGUGUGAACUUUGGUUCUGAUGAAAUCGUGCUUGUCAGCCUGCGGUAUUAAGGGUAUUCAGUGCUUUUCAAAAAAAAAUUAUGUUGCAGAUGUCAUGCCUAAAAGGGGAAUGAUGUGUAGCAGACUUGUUGGAACUGUAUUUCCACCCGAGUAGUAGAAUAAGUUAAAGUGUCGGUGUCAUAACCUAUUGGUAGUGAGAUUAGACCAAGAAGCUGAUGUUAUGAAGUCACAAAGUUAGGAGUCAGAGUAAGGGUGACUUCUAUGUAGAUAAAUAUUUUAGUCGAAUAACAGAUAUUUGAGGAUGAUUUACCCCUUUAUAGUGAUAGACUAAUGUGGUAUCUAGUAGCAUGUGUGGAUUCUAUGGUAGUCUGUGGGGAAAGUGUUUGACUCAGAUUUUUAUUUAUACAGAGUAAGAUGUGUAUUCUUAGAUCAUUGAUUAUUAUGUGUCAAGUUUCUAUAUCUUGUAAUCUUGAUAUCAUUGUGUUGUUGAAAACAAAAAGUCUAGUGAAGCCGUGUGGGGCUCUUUCAAUUCACUAGCAUAGUUGCUUUGUUAUUCGUUUUAUUUUCUUGUUCAAAACACAAAAAAAUCAAAGUCUCGUGAGUCAUGUGAGGCCUAUUUCGAUUCACUAGCAACUUGUUGUUCAACUUAUUGUUCUUAUGUUGGUUGAAUAUAGGUAUAGCCGAAUAAUUUUGUAUGAGAUUGAGUUGGUAAUGAAGUGAUACGUCCUUGUGUGAUAUUUUAGUAGAAGGUAAAGGAGUUAUUAAUCAAGGUGAAUUGUUGUUUGCUUGAAGUAUGAAAAUGGCUAGAUUAGCCAGUAAGUUAGGAUUAUAGACUCAUGGUUGUUUGUGGAAAUUGAAAGUAGUCUAAAUGUACGCUUGGGUAGGUAAGUGUGAUGUGAAAAAUCCAUAUAAGUAGAUAAGAUUGUAUGGGGUUAUAAUAUAAGAUUAAGGUUGACCAUGUCUAUUAUGUGAUUUUACCCCCCCUCCCCCCCCGGACCCACUUUUCGUUGGUAGUUGUAAAUUAGUACUACUUGUGAGAAGGUAUGUAGUACAUUUUUGAGGUAUUUGGAUAGAAUGUCCCAAUUUGAUGGACUAGUAUAUUAUGUUGCAUUCUUCAUUGGUGGUAGAUGAUUGAUGUUAGACAAUAGGCUUGAAUUUAAUGUAGAAUGUGGAUGUAAGAAUAGUGGCUAAAGAUUAAUGAUGUAUGUUUUGUGAGAAUUGUGUGUAAGGUUAGGUUGUAAACCAUGUUUAGCACUAGACAUUAAGUUUGAACAGUUGAUGGCCAUGAAGGUAGAUGUGAUGGUUUCUUGGUUAAGAUACUAGUUUUAUGGAAGCGAUCUAAUAGGCUUGAACAGUGCAUGUAAGAGCUUAAGUUUAUUUGAUUCGUAAUGAAGUAUGAUGUUGAAUGUAUGAGGUAGAAGUAUGCCCAAGGUGAUAUGAGGUUGCGGUAUUUUUUCUAAGGCUAUUACAUGUUGUGUGUGGCUAGUGGUACCAUUGAGUUGCUAGGUGGAGAAAGACAAGUUAGAUGGUAAAAGGUGUUCCAAGUGGCCAAGUUAAAGAGUUUUUGACUUAUAGUGUUGAGCCUUUUGAUAGGAUCUUGAUCCUCAUGGUAGAGAGAUAUAAGUUUGGGGUCGCAAUAUUGGUAGGCUAUGACGGAAGAAGUAUGGUUCAUCAAAGACUUGGUGAUAUCCAUGUUAAGUGUUAGAAUCUAAGUUUGAGUUUUGAAGGUUGAACUAAUAGAAAUAAGGAUAGAAACACCAGAGGGUGUGCACUUCAACUACAGGGAUAUUCAUGAAGAUUCGAAGUUAGUAAGUGUUCAAGUAUUAUAUGAUGACUAUUGGGGUUAUAGAAAGAUAGAGUGUAUCUCAGAAAGUAGUAUGAGAAGUUGGUUUUCCACUUUCAAGUGGUCAUUCGAGUUGAGUUCUAUGAUAUACGUGUAUUGUCGUUUCCAGACCCCAGAGUGCAGUAAGCGUAGUUCAGUUUAGAGUCUAGUAAGGGAUCUCCCAAACUUAAUAUGAUGGCUUAAGGCUAAGUGAGAGAUGAUAGAACAAGUAACUAAGUCCGUCUCUCAGAUUCUAGUAGAAAUGCCUGUAUGAUAUAGAGCAUCAGAAGGUGAGGGUGAGGCUCAACCCAUUUCUGUUUCUAUAUUUUUCAAUUAUCCCAAUACCUACUCAUGCAUUAAGUUUCAGUUCCAUGAUCAUAGUUCACGUUCAUGCAUAUGAUAGAGGAUCAGGUGUUUUUCCAGUCCCUUAAUGAGGGGUUUUAGUUCUUUUAAUAGUCGAAAUCACAGUCCAUAAGUUAUGAACUCCAAAAAUUGAGGUCAUGCAGCUCAUGACUCAUGUACUCACAUUGUAUAAUGUGCUCAGUUUCCAUAACUCAUGCUACACGCCAAAUGAUUGGCGAGAUUCUUCUUAUAGCCAGGUAUGCCCCUAAUUUAGAUCACUUUGAUGAAUCCAUGAUGUUGAUUCGUUGUUCCUCAGGCCUCAGUUAAGUGUCAAGUUUCGUAUAGUAUCCUUCCAUGCUUUAAGGUCUUAUGUUCUAACCUUUUUGUGACUCCUCCUUAUGUAAUGAUUAUGGUGAUGAGUGAAUGUUUCUUGUUGAUGAAAGAUCAUUAUAUGCUUGUUUUAGACAAGGCCAUAAGUAUGAAGUAAGAUUUGGGGCCAAGUCUUUGAUACAUGUGAUGGUUAGUGGAAAAAUUUUUGUGUGUAUAUUCUUGGGGUAGAGCGUGUGAGCUGUAUUGAUAGUGAUUUAGAGAAUAUAUAUGAAGUAUGUCUUUAUGGGUGUUUGCCGUGAAGUUCAUAUGUGGUUAUAAAGAUGGGCUUGAAUGUCAGGUUGAGAUUUAAGUGGAGGAACGCAAUGUCCGCUAGUGAAUCCAAAGUAAGAGAUCAGAGUUAGUCAUUGAAGUGGUAAGGCACGAUAUGCGUAGGGUGUGAACUUUAAAAAGAUAUAGAAGGUUGAAUCAUAUGGUUUGGACUAGUAUCGUAGUGUGGCAUGUUGUAUUUUGUGAUUUAGAGUUAGGCUUGAUCGCGGUAAAAGGAUUUAAGCUACUUUAGACAUUAGUAGAAAGAUUUAUCAAUGCCCAUAUGAGGAUCACAAUUUGAAUCAACGAGUAUGGUAUCUAAGGAGAAUAGUACAGUUGAGGAGUAUUCGAGAAGUUUGUUAAGCUUGAAAGUAAGAAGUUGCAUCGCCUAAGGCCUAGAAAUUCUAUCCUAUUUUAUGAGCUAUAUGUCCUUAUUUCAUGUUAUAUAGUAGUGUCAUUGUGGUGAUUCCUUAGUUGGAUGUCUUGUGUAACUCAUGCCCAAGAUUCUUUGCUCCCUAAUGCUACUAGAACUUCUUUAGAAAGAGUGGAAAGAGUGUUGAAGAGAUACUCCAGUUAAGUAUAAGUGUUCGGUAUAAUUCAGUCUGUAAUUCAGUUUAACAGUCAGGCAGACAAAUUACUGUGGUUUUCUACCUUUUCCCCCCAGUCCUACUAUCCGAGGUCUCAUGCGUACGACCAUCCCAAGAGAUAAUCUAUUCCAUCCAUGUAAAUUGAGAAUUCAGUUCAAUCAGAGCAUCAUGUUUCAGAUUCAACUAUUUAGUCAUGACUCAGUUCAUAAGAGUUCAGAGCAUAAUCUCAAAUUUUCCCAAGUAUUUUAGCUCAAACAGUGUAAUACCUUUGUACGAUCUAAAUCUUGUUGCCUCAUGAUUCGUACUGACAUAAGUUAUCACUUCCAAAUCCAAUGUGUUUGAUUUGAGCAUAAACACUUUGGGGGAAAGCCUAAACUCGCAGCAUGAAUCAGCUCCUUAAAACAAGUAAGGUCAAGUAAGCUCAGAAUUCAGUUUCAUGAUAGAAGUUUAAAUGUUUCAGAUCAAUUAUAUCCUUUCUUAGAAGACACAUCAUGUCUGAGUUAUUCCAUAUCUUUAAUCUUCAAUGUUCCUACCCAUCAUUCGAGGACGAAUGAUCCCAAAGGGGAAAUAAUGUAACACCCCGUAAAAUCCAUGCGGGUGUUAGAUUCUAGUAGUAUGCUCAAAGAGUUGAAAAGACUUGAAAUUUUUCUAAGUGUCAAAGAGACUUAGUCUCAUUUUUAUCUCUCAAUCUUCGGAAAUUUUAUUUUUGACCUUUCCAACCUCCGUUCCUUGAUUUUUUUGUUGAUACGCAAUGGGGCAAGACAAGAGUACGUCUCGGGUGAGUUUCGAAAUUUUUAGACGAGCUUAAGGGCAUGUUUGGUAUGCCAAACCAGUAGCUCGGGGCAAUUAGCCCACGUCGCCCAGGUUACUCCGCCGGACUAGCCAAGGCGCUGCCCAAGGUAGUCCCCCGGGAUAGACAGGACGCCGCCCUAGGUACUCCCCCGGGCUAGGCAGGGCGCCGCCCUAAGAAGUCCGGCUGGGCUUAUUUUGUUCAGUUUUUCCCCGAAUCAUUAAGUGUGUUUUGGGUAUUUUCAAUCCCCCAAUCAUCUUAAACACGGGAUAAUCCCAAAUACACCAAAAUACAUUCACUUCUAUCAAAUUAUCUCAAGAACACUCCUUAGGGUUUCAACCCAAAGAUCAAUAUAUCUCAAGAUUUAACCGUAGUUUUUCAAUAAUUUUUCAAGAUUCGGAAUUCCCAUUGCGAGGGCUACAAGAUGCACCCACCAAUCGUACAUAUAGCAUCCCAAAAGCUAGAGUUCAUUCAAAAGCUUCUAAUUUAAGGUACGCGGAGUUUUCCUAAAAUCUUAUGGGCGUAGAAAUCAUGAUUUUAAGAAAGGGGUUUCGGAUUUAUGAAUACAUUCAUGUUUUAGAAAUCUUGACGGUAUUGUUUUGGUCUUAUGACCUUCCCUCAAAUUGAUUUGAAAUUAUAUAUAUAUAUAUAUGUAAGCAUGUGUUUUAAGGUUGAUGAUUGAAUUGAGAGCAUGAUUCAUGAAAAAUCCCUCUUUUGUGAUGCUUUUCAUUUAUUUAUGAUAUACUAUGAAAUCGUUUGAAUGCAUCUUGAAAAGCAUGUUAUGAAAUAUCUUGAAUUGUGUUAUGAUUGGAUUACGACUUGGAUUUCAAAAGAGAGGGUAGUUGUGUUGAUAAAUGUUGAAAAUAUUCAUAUAAUGAAAGAGUGCAUAUUUUGCCAAAAACACAUGACCACCAUAUGUAUGAAGGAUUCUUGCAUAGUUUUUGACUUAUGUUUCGGAACAUGAAAUCUCUUAUACUAUUUGAAAUGUUGGGUGGUCUGAAUUGAGUUUUAAUGAAAAGAUUAUGCUUAAUGCAUUAAGGCUCAGAAUUACGACUUGCAAGUCAUGGUAUGACGAUACCAAAUCAGACAAUGCCAUAACAGAGAGUCUAAUACAGAAAUCAGACUUUAUCAGAUUUUCAUGAUUUAGACUUCAGAAUGACUCAUAUUCAAAACAAGCUAAAAUUGGGCAUAAAGAGAGCUUAGGUGGUUCCCCAAAGAAGGCAUUAGUUCAGACAACUCAUUUCCCAAAACCGUGAUUUGCCAACCCGGGUAUAUUAUUAUACGUUGUCCUAGUGCCCUGUGGCGUAUCAGACUUAAGACACUCCAACCCUUGCGGCACACUCGGGUUGGGGGCUUCCCCGUCGAGUUGGUGGCGCAUUCCAUAUAGCCCGUGGAAUAUCAGACUUGUGGGGGAGUGUCACCUAACUCAGAAUUAAUACGAAGAUCAGAAACUACAUUGUCAAGAAUGAUUUAUGAUUUUUCAGAAAAGUGCCCAUGUGUUUUGAAAAUUAUUUUAUGUAUGAUGUUUUGACAAAUUGCUCUCCAUUAUUUAUUUAUAUAAAAGCUUUAUUUUGGAUUACUUUGCGUACCAGUACAACUGUAUUGACCCCCUACCUUCCAGGUUCUGAGGCACAGUGUAGGGGUCCUGAUAAGCAGUAGAUUUCUUCAGGCAGGAGUGCAGAGUCCCGUUGGUGAGCCUUCUAUAUUUCAAAAGGCCUAUUUAUUUUCAGAUAUUUAUCAUUAGCUAUGGUUUUGGUCUACUGGGGGCCUUGUCCCAGUUUUCAGAUAGUUGUUGUUGAUUGUGUAGUAGAGAUUUCGCAGACGGUUUUCAAACGUUGUUAGUUGGUAUUGGAUGUCAUUCUCCACUAUUGAAUUUAUUCCAGACUUAUGACCAUGAUUCCGUUUCAUUGUAUAUUUCCAUUUUUCCUUAAUUGCAUAUGAAUGGUGUAUAUGAUUACAAGUUAGAAGGGCUCUCAGGCGUUCACGUUUCGGGAUGUCCGU
rnacentral:lncRNA from 1 species